CUCACUUUGGAGCUCACCCUGGUCUCAAACUCGCAGCAAGCCUCCUGCCUCAGCCUCUGGAGUGCUGGGAUCAAAGGCGUGCACCACCGUGCCCAGUUUAGAAUUCUUAUUUUUUAAUACAGAAAAACUCAGUUGUCACCUAUUCUAUGCCAGUCUCUGUAUCCUAAGGAUUUCACUCCAUUAAUAAUGUUUAUAAGGCCCAGAUUACCAACAGAUGAGGAUGCAUUUCCCCUUACACUAACGUUCUUUGGGCUCCUUGUCCCACAGGCUAUAAGUACUUUUCAUGUCCCCCGUGAGCAGGUGUUAUUAUUAUCUAUUUUGCCAAUGAAAAAAUAGAAGCUUUCCUAUCACUGGGACAAAAUAGCCAACACCCACAACUUAAAGGAAGGGAGCUUUAUUUCAGCUCACGGUUUUGGGGGAUUCAUCCCAUGGUCACCUAUCUCCAAGGCAGAACAGCGUGGUGCAGGAAGGCUGCUCACUGCGUGGCAACCAGGAAGCAGAGAAAGAGGGGGAGCCAGGAUGACAAUGUGCUGUUCAGUCACAAGCCCCUUCCAACCAUGCCCUGCAGCUGGACGUGAGACUUUGGGGGACAUUUCAGAUAGAAAUAUAACAGAAGCACAGAAGAAUAGAUGGCUGCACCCAGGACAUUUGGCUCCUUAAUCUAGAAUUCAAAUUUCAGUGCCUUCUAAUGACUGCAAGAAAGAGCGUGAGCCCGGGAAUGCAAGCAAGCUGACCCAGGCAGGUCUGCCCAGCUCUGGACUGUCCACCUCUGGGCUCUCCAGGGGAAAGAAAUGAAGACCCAAUCUUAGGCCAUAUGAGUUUUCAUCUUUAUGACUAACAGCCGAAUAGAAUUCCUAACUGGUACACUAGAGUUGAGAACAAUACAACUAGUGGCCAAUGUUUAAAAACUGAGAGCUUGUGCCAGGCAGGGUGGCCAUGCCUGUGGUCCCACUGUUACCCAGGGGACUGAGGUGGGAGGUGACUCAAGCCCAGGAGUUCACUGCCAGCCUGAGCAACAAAAAAAGACCCUGUUUCAAAAGGGGAAGGAGGGGAAUUACAUGAUAAUCUCGCUUCCUACUGCUUUCUCUCUCUCUUUUUUUUAAAAAAUUGGUACCAGGGAUUGAACUCACAACCCCGAGCUUGCAAGGCAGGUGCUUAUGCACUGAGCUAAAUUCUCUUGAAACAACAACAAAGAAACAGUCAACAUUGGGCCGUUGGCAACAAUCUACUAUACUCAGCAGUUGGUCAGUAACUCAUGUAUGUUUCUUGAAGUCUUCUGAGUUUGCUUCAUUUUCCAGUCUUCCGUGCUGGUGAGUAGACAGAGGAAGCCCCAUCCCCGCAAAGAGCCCUGUGAAACAGGGCUCCCAUAUGCCAAGACUAAACACAUCCAACUCAUGGCCCCACAAGACUGUAAACUCUCAACAUUAUUAUGUGAGUUUUAACAGUGUUUUUCAUGCCUUGAUUACACUGUGCUCAGGAACCGACUGGGAGCCAGCAAGGGGAUGCUCUGUUGCUGUCCAGGACAACCAGGCACAGUGCAUUGCUAACUCUGCCUUCGGUCCCCAUCACACACAUCUGACGGGGAACACACAAGUGUCAGACAUCACCUGUACUUGUGCAACUCAGCCAGUUCAACACAGCGACCACUAGGAGCAGUAUUUCACGGUGUGUUCUCUGGAAGACAGAUGUUCGUCACUAUUUAGCAGACAUGGAAUGAGCAUCGAUCCGUCUUUGCAUGACCGACCUGGCUCAGGUGACGUGCAGAAUGUUAAUACAGUGCUCGGUGUCAGGAGGAAACAAGUCUUGUGGAGAAAUACAGUGAGGAGCGGAUGGAACAUUAACUCACCUUUUGGGGUGUAUCCGUGAGUCAUUCUGAGAACGUCAGGAAAAGCACACCUGUCAGAAUCAUCUCUGAGAGUGUUCAUGGGAGCGAGCCGUCAGGCUCUCACGUCCUUUGGUGGAGCUACUGCUGGCCCGCUGACCACAGCCACAGCCAUCCUGUGAGCACCUUCUCUUCCUGUCCCCUUCUUUGUCAAGCAGAAGUCACGUGCAGGAGAGCAACUUCGGAUGCUGAGUGUGUGUCACAUACACCUCCCCUCUCCCUGCACAUCUGACCCAGGAGGCCUGUUGGCGGCUGUCCAGCCUCUGUUCCUCUUCCUGCAUGGCUGUACUGUCCUGCUCACUUUGGAAAACAAUCACCCUCCCCUUCCCACCAUGCAGAGAACUUGCUGCCCCUCGCUGGACAGCAGCUCCUGGACAGAGACCCCUUCCUCUUGCGUGUGACAUUCAUGAAGCAUUAAUGGGGCCCCCGACCCCUACCCCAGCAGCCAGCGGCCAGGAUGAAGAUGGGUGGGAGACACUGAAGUCUCUACCCUGCCAGCGCAAGCCCUGCCUAGAGUCCCUUUCUACUUAAAUUCAAACCUCUAUUUCUUUUUAAAUAUGCAAGCCAAUGCGUCUUUCUUAGGUCUAAAUCAGUUUGGGGAAGCUUUCCUCAUGCUGGCCUCUGGAGGACAUCGACCCCGGGAGGGUCCCGUCGUGCAGUGAGUGCAGCGGACGCCAGCUUUGCUCCUCUGAUGGCUCUCCUCUAACUCACAAAUCCUGCUUCCUGGGGUGUGUGGGCUUCUGCCCAUUGCGCUGAUCCCUGCGUAUCUUUCUUCUCCUCCAUCGCGCACAGGCAUGCAGCCUCCCUUCCUUCAAAACUGCCAUGCCCUUCCCAUCCUUCCGAGAUUUCCCAUUUCCAGACAUGACUAUUACAUGAGACACAAUCACCUGCUCCCACUCUUUCUUUUCCUAGAAAGCAAACAUUACAGACCUUCCUGACAUCUGCAGUUUUUUGCUAAUCAUUGUGGUGAGGAAGCACAGGGAUUUGUGCUGAAUUUGAGGUUCCAGCAGGAAUGUGUGCAGUGAUCGCUUAAUAAUGUCUGCCAUGGGCACAGGAUGGAGAAUGUUGAGAUGGCUCUGGGUGUUGCUGUUCCUACCCUAGACUGAGUUCUGAGCUUAGGUCAGUCAGACACACCAUCUCUGCAUGCUGACCAAAUGCGUACUUUCCUGGUUCACGGCGCACACAGUUGCACUGGGGAUGCUUCUGCUUCUUGUCUAAGGAACCCACUGUGUCCACAGAUCUGAAAAGUGUGCUAAGCCCAGACCUGUGCCUGCCCCGUGCCCUUCCUGGCUUCCUUCACUUACUCCUCAAGUCGUCACUGAUUCAUUCAGCAGCCAGCGUGCUCCUCCCACGCCUCCAGCUCUGAAGGUCAUUUUAGGAUUAGAGUCACUUGGCUCCAAAAUAACUUCUAUAUAAAUAGACAUGGUUGUCACCAAGAGAACGGGUGGGCUUUCACUCACACCCCAGCAUUCAUCCAUGACUCAUGAAUUUCAUCCUUUUUAUAGACACUGCCGAACCCAGCUUUAUUCAUGAGUCUUUCCUCAAAACCAACAGAAUCUGUUAAGACUCUAGAAAUUCUGAUCCCUAAAUGAAGUCAAUUUGUACUGGACAGCUCUGCUGCUGUCUUAGUAUAUUUUCUCUGAUUUUAUUGGGAGAACUUUAUGUCCUAUGAUUAUAAACUAUUUGUUAUUGGGGUGUCAUGGUUUCAAUGUGUCUCCCAAAUUUUUGUGGGAGAAACAUGAUCCCUAAAUUCAUAUGCUGAUGGUACUUGGAGGCCAAUGGUAUUUCCCUUUGGGAAGUAAUUAGAAUUGGAUAAAGACAUCAGGUGGAGCCAUCAUGAUGGAGCUGGUGGUUUUUUUUUUGUUUGUUUGUUUGUUUUUUUGUAAGAUAAGGAAGUCUCUGGGUGGCUGAGGCAGGAAGAUGGCAAGUUUGAGGCCAGCCUGGGUAACAUAGCAAAACCUGAAGCUAAAAAAAUGGGCCAAGGAUGUAACUCAGUGCAAAGGCCCUGAGUUCAUCCUAGUAUUGCAAAGAAAAGGAAGGAGAAGGAAGAAGGAGGAGGAGAAGGAGACAGAGGAGAAGCAGGGGGAGCAGGAGAGAGAGGAGAAGCAGAAGACCUGAGCCAGCACAUUCCUCCUCCACCUGCUGUGUGAUGCCCCCCUGUCAGGGCACAGCAAGAGGCCCCUCACCAAAUGCCAGGCAGCUGCUAGCACUGUGCUCUUUGACUGUCCAGCCUCCAGAACCGAGAGCCAAAUAAACUUCUAUUCUUUAUCAAUCAGCCGAUCUAGGUAAUUUAUCAUAGCAACAGAAAACAGAGAGAAUAGGUACCCAGUGUAGUGGCCAGCCAGUGCUGCCCUUCAGUUACACCCAGCUUGGAGGAAAAUGUCUAUGAUGCUGCCCGCCCCUCUCAAGCUUCUCCCAGGGACUGGUCACCUUGUGAGCUCUGGGUGGGGUUGUGGAGGGGCUCUACUUUGGGAGCCACACCCCUCACAGCCUGGAAGCGAAGGGGCCUGGAUUCUCCUCUGAGCCUCCUAGAACCAUCCAGGAUAAACCCUUCACAAUGAGCCCCGCCCAGUCCAGGCCACCGGUUCUGGGGGCUGAGACACGGUCAUUUCUUGGGGUCCGCUGUUCAGACCAUCACAGACUCGUAUCUACAGGGGACCCACUGCUGCAGAAAAGCAUUCCCAUAAAGGAGCAAACUUAGCAGUGUAACAGGUAACACUGGGCUUCCUGAUCCCACCCGGGACCUAUGAGAAACCCCGUGGAACUGUAAAUAGCCCAUGCUUAACCACUGAAGUCUGAUGGGAAGUCAUGGUUCUCCAUGCAUCUGUCACCCGAGAUCGACUUUCCUCCCUCAGUACAGCCAGUGCCUCUGGAUGCCUCUCUCAGCUCUGCUGCUCAGUGGCUGUGUGACCUGGAAAUCCCCUUAAGCUCCUUACACAUAAACCUAAAUGGUCAGUGUGCUUCCGGCGUGAGCGUUAACUGACUUCAUGGAUAUAAAGCAUUGUGAGCCCUGCGUGGUACGAAGUUUAUGUAUAAGCUGUUAUUAUCAUUUGCAUAAUUUGUUUCUGGGGAAAUUACUCAGCUCUCCCUUUGUGUGAGCAAGGGAGCGAGCUCCACCACUUUGAUUUGUUUUUCUUUUCUUUUUUUUGAGACAGUCUCUCACUAUGUAGCCCAGGCUGGCCUUGAACUCACAGUGAUUCUCUUGCCUCAGCCUCCCAAAUGCUGGGGUUAUAGGCUUGCACCACCAUGGCUGGCUCUAUUUUGACUUCUGUUUGUAACAUCCUCCAUCUAAGUCUUUCCGUGUCAGAGAUGUGCUAGCCCAGUCUCUCCUGAAAGAGAAUUUCGAGCUGGGCCAGGUGGUGCACUCCAGUAAUCCCUGCACUGGGGAGGUUGAGGCAGAGGGAUUGCUGUGAGUUUGAGGCUAGCAUGGGUUACACAGUGAGUUCAAAGCCAGCCUCAAGUAACAGUGAGAGCCUGUCUCAAAACAAACAAACAAACAAAAACCAAAAGACAAAACCAGAAAGAGAACUUUUGGCCAGAGAUGCACAGGUCUACAAUAGCAAUCCAUUUAUGCCUGAUUAACUUCCCCUGUUUAAUAAGUGAAAACCUUUCAUUUUAAAAUUGUAAAUGAUCCAUAUCAUAAAAGACAAGACUCCCACGAUACCUGAAUUCAGAAGCACACUGCCCGAGCUUUGUUUUGUCCUGACUUCAAGGCAAUGGGGGUGCAUUUCAGGUCCCUGUGCUCUGCCUGCUAAGUCCCUCUUCCCCAACCACGGCUCCCAGAGCCCUGCUGGACCCGGGAGCACUCGGGAUCAGUCCCCUUGUUCUUUGUGUCCACGUGGAUUUAUGCCGAUCAUAGUGUUUGUUUUUUUUACAAGUAUGGUCUCAAUUUGCAUUCAUUCAGUAAUAAAAGCCUCAACUUUAUCCUU